AAACAACGAAGAGUUUGAUCCUGGCUCAGGAUGAACGCUAGCGACAGGCCUAACACAUGCAAGUCGAGGGGCAUCGGGGCGAGGAGCAAUCCUUGCCGCCGGCGACCGGCGCACGGGUGAGUAACGCGUAUGCGACCUGCCCGUUGCAGGGGGAUAAUCGGGAGAAAUCCCGUCUAAUACCGCGUAAUGCCGCGGGGCUGCAUGGCCCUGCGGCCAAAGGGAGCGAUUCCGGCAACGGAUGGGCAUGCGUGACAUUAGCUAGUUGGCGGGGCAACGGCCCACCAAGGCGACGAUGUCUAGGGGUUCUGAGAGGAAGGUCCCCCACACUGGUACUGAGACACGGACCAGACUCCUACGGGAGGCAGCAGUGAGGAAUAUUGGUCAAUGGGCGCGAGCCUGAACCAGCCAAGUCGCGUGAGGGAUGACGGCCCUACGGGUUGUAAACCUCUUUUGUCGGGGAGCAAAUUCCGCCACGUGUGGCGGAGUCGAGAGUACCCGAAGAAAAAGCAUCGGCUAACUCCGUGCCAGCAGCCGCGGUAAUACGGAGGAUGCGAGCGUUAUCCGGAUUUAUUGGGUUUAAAGGGUGCGUAGGCGGACUGUCAAGUCAGCGGUAAAAUACGGGGGCUCAACCUCCGCCCGCCGUUGAAACUGACGGUCUUGAGUGGGCGAGAAGUAUGCGGAAUGCGUGGUGUAGCGGUGAAAUGCAUAGAUAUCACGCAGAACUCCGAUUGCGAAGGCAGCAUACCGGCGCCCGACUGACGCUGAAGCACGAAAGCGUGGGUAUCGAACAGGAUUAGAUACCCUGGUAGUCCACGCAGUAAACGAUGAAUACUAGCUGUCCGGGGCGAAUGAGCCCUGGGUGGCACAGCGAAAGCGUUAAGUAUUCCACCUGGGGAGUACGCCGGCAACGGUGAAACUCAAAGGAAUUGACGGGGGCCCGCACAAGCGGAGGAACAUGUGGUUUAAUUCGAUGAUACGCGAGGAACCUUACCCGGGCUCAAACGACACAGGAACGUACCUGAAAGGGUUCGGCUCUACGGAGCCUGUGUCGAGGUGCUGCAUGGUUGUCGUCAGCUCGUGCCGUGAGGUGUCGGCUUAAGUGCCAUAACGAGCGCAACCCCCAUCGACAGUUGCUAACAGGUCAGGCUGAGGACUCUGUCGAGACUGCCGGCGCAAGCUGCGAGGAAGGCGGGGAUGACGUCAAAUCAGCACGGCCCUUACGUCCGGGGCGACACACGUGUUACAAUGGCAGGUACAGCGGGAAGCCACCUGGCGACAGGGAGCGGAACCCGAAAGCCUGUCUCAGUUCGGAUUGGAGUCUGCAACCCGACUCCAUGAAGCUGGAUUCGCUAGUAAUCGCGCAUCAGCCACGGCGCGGUGAAUACGUUCCCGGGCCUUGUACACACCGCCCGUCAAGCCAUGGAAGCCGGGGGUGCCUGAAGUGCGCUGCCGCGAGGAGCGCCCUAGGGUAAAACCGGUGACUGGGGCUAAGUCGUAACAAGGUAGCCGUACCGGAAGGUGCGGCUGGAACACCUCCUUUCU
rnacentral:rRNA from 1 species